GUACUGUUUGCUGGGUCUUCAGGGAUAAGAGGCUGAACCCUGGCAUGGCUUCAUGUAGGCAGUAGAUCACGUUCAUCCCCUGAGCGGUUACCCAGGCUGGCGACUCAGAGAUAUGCUGUUGCUGGGCCUUAAGAGGCUGAACCCUGGCAUUUUCAUCCCCUGAGGGAGAGGUUGCCUCCGACCCCCAGUCACUAAAGGGCGUACCCAGGCUAGCCACUUUUACAAUAGUGCAUUGCUGGUUCUUCAGGGCUUAGAGGCUGGCAGGACUACAAACAUAUUGCCUGGUGAGUAUAAAAGAAAAAUCUAGGCCUGCAUAAGCAGACUACUUCAAAAACUGCUGUGAAGGACAGGAAAAAAGACUGCCUGAUGGGAACCAGUUUCAGAGUGUUAUUUCCUGUUCUUUCUGCUAUGAGGGGAGAAGCUAACCCAGGAGUAAAUGCUGCCAUGAUUGAUCAGGAAAAAGCUAUUUUGUAUUAAAAUUCUCAUCAGGCUCAGUAACCUUUUACAUCAGAUGUAUAUUUUAACUCUAACCAACGUCAAUUGGAAACUCACUGAGCAUAAUAGGAGUUUUAGUCUAGAAAGCAAAGGCAAUUUCUGGCCCUUAAUUAGAUGGAACAUACAUUCUCAACAGAAUGUCUUGGAUUCUUUUUCCAUCUGAGCUCUGUACCUAGGAGGAGCAGAGAUUAAAAACCAGAAGCAAUUUAAUUUUUUUCUUUAUCAAUGAGCAUCCAGCCUUGGGCAACCUGUUCUAGGUAUCUAGGGUUAGCAUGCUGUGUCUGAUGAUAUCACACACAAAAAUUACACAAAAUUGAUAUUGCCAGCCAGGAUGUAUUCCAGGUAGUUGAUUGACAGCAGGGGAGAUCCC